GAUGAACGCUGGCGGCGUGCUUAACACAUGCAAGUCGAACGGAAAGGCCCAAGCUUGCUUGGGUACUCGAGUGGCGAACGGGUGAGUAACACGUGGGUGAUCUGCCCUGCACUUCGGGAUAAGCCUGGGAAACUGGGUCUAAUACCGGAUAGGACCACUUCUUGGAUGUUGUGGUGGAAAGUUUUUUCGGUGUGGGAUGAGCUCGCGGCCUAUCAGCUUGUUGGUGGGGUAAUGGCCUACCAAGGCGUUGACGGGUAGCCGGCCUGGGAGGGUGUACGGCCACCUUGGGUCUGAGGGUAGGCCCCAGCCCCUAAGGGGGGGCGGAGGGGGGAAUAUUGGACAAUGGGCGCCAGGCUGGUGCAGAGACGCCGCGGGGGGGAUGACGGCCUUCGGGUUGUAAACCCCUUUCGCUAGGGACGAAGCGUUUUGUGACGGUACCUGGAGAAGAAGCACCGGCUAACUACGUG
rnacentral:rRNA from 1 species